AUGAGAAAUACCGCAACUCCCAACGACCACGCUCCCUACCAGUUUCUGAACGGAAACCGCCGCUUUGCGCGUUCAGAUCUCCAACCGUCCUCGAUUCCACUGCACGACCAACCUUUAUGCAUCCUAUCAAGAAAGAUCCUACAAAAUCGUGUGAAUUAUGUUGAAAAUAUGAAAUUUGUUGUUUUGGUUUUCUUAAGUGAAGAGAAAGAAGGCAUCGAGAGAUGA